UACGUAGGUGGCAAGCGUUAUCCGGAAUUAUUGGGCGUAAAGCGCGCGCAGGCGGUCCUUUAAGUCUGAUGUGAAAGCCCACGGCUCAACCGUGGAGGGUCAUUGGAAACUGGGGGACUUGAGUGCAGAAGAGGAAAGCGGAAUUCCACGUGUAGCGGUGAAAUGCGUAGAGAUGUGGAGGAACACCAGUGGCGAAGGCGGCUUUCUGGUCUGUAACUGACGCUGAGGCGCGAAAGCGUGGGGAGCAAACAGG
rnacentral:rRNA from 1 species